GAGUUUGAUCAUGGCUCAGGAUGAACGCUGGCGGCGUGCUUAACACAUGCAAGUCGAACGAACCUUCGGGUUAGUGGCGGACGGGUGAGUAACGCGUGAGAAUCUGCCCUCAGGAGGGGGAUAACGGUUGGAAACGACCGCUAAUACCCCAUAUGCCGCGAGGUGAAAUGAAUUUCGCCUGAGGAUGAGCUCGCGUCUGAUUAGCUAGUUGGUGGGGUAAAGGCCUACCAAGGCAUCGAUCAGUAGCUGGUCUGAGAGGAUGAUCAGCCACACUGGGACUGAGACACGGCCCAGACUCCUACGGGAGGCAGCAGUGGGGAAUUUUCCGCAAUGGGCGAAAGCCUGACGGAGCAACGCCGCGUGAGGGAUGAAGGCCUCUGGGCUGUAAACCUCUUUUAUCAAGGAAGAAGAUCUGACGGUACUUGAUGAAUAAGCCACGGCUAAUUCCGUGCCAGCAGCCGCGGUAAUACGGGAGUGGCAAGCGUUAUCCGGAAUUAUUGGGCGUAAAGCGUCCGCAGGCGGCCCUUCAAGUCUGCUGUUAAAAAGUGGAGCUUAACUCCAUCAUGGCAGUGGAAACUGUUGGGCUUGAGUGUGGUAGGGGCAGAGGGAAUUCCCGGUGUAGCGGUGAAAUGCGUAGAUAUCGGGAAGAACACCAGUGGCGAAGGCGCUCUGCUGGGCCAUCACUGACGCUCAUGGACGAAAGCCAGGGGAGCGAAAGGGAUUAGAUACCCCUGUAGUCCUGGCCGUAAACGAUGAACACUAGGUGUCGGGGGAAUCGACCCCCUCGGUGUCGUAGCCAACGCGUUAAGUGUUCCGCCUGGGGAGUACGCACGCAAGUGUGAAACUCAAAGGAAUUGACGGGGGCCCGCACAAGCGGUGGAGUAUGUGGUUUAAUUCGAUGCAACGCGAAGAACCUUACCAGGGUUUGACAUCCUGCGAAUCUCUUGGAAACGAGAGAGUGCCUUCGGGAACGCAGUGACAGGUGGUGCAUGGCUGUCGUCAGCUCGUGUCGUGAGAUGUUGGGUUAAGUCCCGCAACGAGCGCAACCCACGUCUUUAGUUGCCAGCAUUCAGUUGGGCACUCUAGAGAGACCGCCGGUGAUAAACCGGAGGAAGGUGUGGAUGACGUCAAGUCGUCAUGCCCCUUACAUCCUGGGCUACACACGUACUACAAUGCUACGGACAGAGGGCAGCAAGUUCGCGAGGACAAGCAAAUCCCAUAAACCGUGGCUCAGUUCAGAUCGUAGGCUGCAACUCGCCUACGUGAAGGAGGAAUCGCUAGUAAUCGCAGGUCAGCAUACUGCGGUGAAUACGU
rnacentral:rRNA from 1 species